AAACUGGUUGGAUCGAUCGAGAAUCAAGAAAAACCUGAAAAUAAAUUGGUUGAAAAUGAGAAAAAAUAGUGUGUUAAUAGGAGGAGGAUUAGGUUAUUGUUAUAAACGAUGGAUGUCAUCGUCGUCAAGCGUAGGAAGAAAGAGAUCCGCGGCAGUGUGGGGUAAUGGUGAUUACGGAAGAUUAGGAUACGGAAACGUAGAUUCUAUGUGGAGACCUAAGCUUAUGAAUUCCUCUUCCUUUCAUAAUUCUAAUCUCAAAUCCAUUUCUUGUGGCGGUGCUCACACUCUCUUCUUAACAGAAACUGGGCGUGUUUAUGCCACCGGUCUUAAUGAUUUUGGACAGCUCGGCAUAUCAAACAACACUACUUAUUGUAUGGAGCCACUUGAAGUUUCUGGUCUCAAAAAGGAAAUUGUGCAAAUCUCAGCUGGUUAUCAUCACUCAUGUGCUAUUACAGUGGAUGGAGAGCUCUAUACGUGGGGAAAGAACUCAAAUGGGCAGCUGGGUCUUGGAAAAAAGGCUGAAAAUGUAGUCCCUGUACCAACAAAAGUAGAAUGUUUGAGCGGAAUCAACGUUAAAAUGGUAGCUUUGGCUUCAGAGCACUCAAUUGCAGUUACUGAUGGAGGUCAGGCCUUGAGUUGGGGAGGAGGAGGAUCUGGGCGACUUGGUCAUGGCCAUCAAUCAAGUCUUUUGGGGUUUUUUAGAAGCAGCAGUGAAUAUACACCUAGACACAUUAAGAAACUUGAAGGGGUUAAGGUUAAAAACAUUGCUGCCGGCUUGCUUCAUUCAGCCUGCAUUGAUGAGAACGGCUCUGUCUACAUAUUUGGUGAAAAAGCAGUAGAUAAACUGGCUUUUGGAGAUGCGAACAACACAACGACACCAUCUAUGAUAGGCAAAUUGCCUUACUCUCAAGAAGUAGCAUGUGGUGGCUAUCACACAUGUGUUAUAACUAGUAGUGGUGAACUAUACACUUGGGGCUCAAAUGAAAAUGGUUGUCUUGGCAACGGUUCUAUUGAUGUCUUGCAUAUUCCGGAGCGAAUUGAAGGCCCUUUUUUGAGAUCUCCUGUUGAAAAGGUAUCCUGUGGUUGGAAGCAUACAGCAGCGAUUUCAGAAGGCAAAGUGUUUACCUGGGGCUGGGGAGGUUCACAUGGAACAUUUUCUGAAGAUGGACUUUCUUCCGGUGGACAAUUGGUUUGCUUUCUCUUCUCCUGUAUACUAUGAAAUUACCUUCUUCCAAUUAGUCAUGUGCGAUGCUUGAAAACAUCAUUUUAAAUAUCAACGCCUCAGCAUGUAGUAAAAACAGAUAUUUGCAUUACCAUUAAUUUUUUUUUCAGUGGUCCGCGGUGGCCAUGAUAAGUAAUAGAUGAUCAACAAUGAUACUUGAAAUCAUCAGGCAAUAGAUAGCCAAUGGCAAUGGUGCCUACAGUAAGUUCCAAGGUUGAAUACAUUUCUGGAUAAACAAGUCUGAGUAUUAUUUUUAAUUCCCCCUUACAAUCUUUUCCUUAUUGUGAAAUGAUUAAUCUUGUCCACUAUACCAAUAAUAUUAGAUGCUAACAUAUAGUUCAUGAGCCUGUACCAUUAAAUGCUUGUCACUUUUACUUGAUACGAGACACUAACUUUUAGUUUAUUUUGAUGAUAUUUUGGUAAAUGCAUUAUUAGAUUUUAUAUGGUAACAUCAAAGUUCUAUCCCGCGUGGUUUUCUGCUAUGGUGAAAGUACUGAAAAUUACUUCAAAAUGUUAUUUCAAAACAAGCACAAAAUGUUCUUCAGUUCAUUUGACCUUUAGCAUAUGAUUGGUUUGCUGUGUUGGAGCACACCGUGCAUUUUUUUUGUUAUUAUCUCUGUAAAUUCAUUGUUAUUGUGCUUCUUGUGCGCAUUCAUAUUUGUCUUUACGAGUUACGAGCUGAGGAUAUUGCAUACAGGGUCACGGGGAUGAUUUUGACUACGUAAAUCCUACAGUGGUUGCCUUCGAGAAGAAAAUGAAAGCAUUGGAAGUGUCAUGUGGGUUUAAUCACACAGGUGCCAUACUUGAAAGUGUUGAUGCUUAAGCCAUGGUUAAGGUUCUUCAGUGAAUGGAAGCGGUUUAGAGUUUUUACUGUUAUUUCAUUCAUUAUUUGGCUUUAACAUAUUCAAAUGCCAAUUAAAUAAUCAUCAGUCAUCAACUCCGAGACCAUCUGUUCAUACUCCGAACUCCAGAACGGUGCACUGUACAUGAUGAGGUCAAUGUAACCUGUAUAUCCUUAAUUUACCAAAAGAAAACUGUUACGGUACGAAAACUUAAAAUAUGUGGGAAAACCACUGUAUACAUGUAUUUUAUUGUGAAUUGUAAUAGUCAAUUGGUGAUUUUAUUCUUAAAAUAAUCACAUAAAACAGUCUUUCAAGAGU